AUAGUCAGUUUCUUAGAACAUAUCACCAUGUUGAAAGCGGUAGUAUUUGUGCUUUUGGCUUUGUUGCACUAUUGCAAAUGCGAAAAUGUAACUAUUUCUGGAGUAAAACACCACAAGAUGAGAUAUUCCCUUUUGAUCUUCCCGCUGCGAUUUGUGCCCCUUCCAAGAAGCGAGGUCCUUGCAAAUUAGCCGCAUAUCACUUUGUGGAAAAAGCUCUUUGGCAAAUUAAACUAAAUAAUUCAAGGACGCGACCGCAGUUCAUAAAAUGGCCCGCCACAAACAAAGCACAAAAAUUGCGCCGCGCAAUCUUUUGUUUUUGCAAAUAUUUCCAGCUGACACACACGCACUUCUAAGCGAAUAUGUGGCUGCAGCUGGAUAUGGAAAUGCUUGACAAGAAAAAUGCGGUCGUCUACUUCGGGGGAGAGCUCAAACAAUGUCAGGCGAAAAAAUGAAACCAUACACUCCAAGAAAAUGUUGGUAUUCAAAAAGAUUACCAAGUAUAUGUUAGCCAAAAUAUUAUGCCCUUUAAAUAAAUAGAAAUCCUGUGCUGAACACA